CCACAGGGCCCCAGGCUCCGUGGUAUGUGCCUCACACUGGAAGCUUAGUUAGGUGCAAGAAGCUGAUGGUUUUACAAACAGCAUCCAGCAACGUGUAUCAGGCUUGUUUUUUAAUCAUGUUUUGUUGUUGUUGUUGUUUGUUUUGUUGUUGUUUUUUUUGUUUUUUAGAUUGCAAAUGUCCUUUGAGAGUGCAGGUCCCCGAGUCCAGGCACUGCAUGGUGAUUGUCUUUUGUUUUCGUCUUUCAUAUAGAACAGUAGCUGGAUCCAGUUUAAAGCUUUUGGGUAUCAUCUAGCCUCUUUGCUCACUUCUGGGGCUGAAUGCCAGUAACUAGCCCCACUGUUGUAUCUGGGUCUCGUCUUGACAGCUCAGAGGCAAUGCCUGCCUCCCAGCCCCUUUCCUUUCCCAAGACUAGAGAUGCCGGACCUCAGACCACGCUAGACUCCCUUUCCCUGGGUUAGGGGGAGGCUGGAACUCUUCUGGUUUUAGGUUCUCCUAACUGACCUGGAUGGAAAUAUUUAAGGCCAUAGGAUUAUCAGCGGGGACAAGUGUGUCCUCCCUGUGUCCUGUUCCAGGGUAGGCCUCCUGCCUCCCCGCCUGCUCUGUGAUUCUCAGGAAGGCAAGGCAUGGAACUCCAGGCCUAUUAAGGGUCUUCCCCAGUGGCCAGUUAGGCGCGGGCGCUGCAGACUAGCUGGAGAGGCGUGGGGGAGGGGACAUCCAUUCCUGCCAUUCAGCGACCAAGUCUUUCUAGGGACCCCUGGGCAGAGCGAGAGAAACCGGUCCCAGUGGAAUGAGGGUGCAGGGGUCCUGCUAAGUGUUGCUAGUGAUGACUUACACUGAGGUCGCCCAGAAGAAGGGAGGGAGGAAGGGGAGGUGAGACCACAGCGGUGGUGGUGGUGGUGGUGGUGGUGAGCUCGGAGGAGCCCAGCUCCUUCUGAGCUCUAGGGUGCCCUGCAAGUCUCACCAGCCUACGCAUCCCCGUUCUCCAAGGCUGGAGCUGGGACUCCAGGGCUCCUGUGGCCACAUUCAGCUGGCUCGCGGCCCUCCCUGCCUCGCCGCCCUCCCUGGCCGCGCGACCGCCGGAGCCCCCUCCCUCUCUCGCCGAGCUGCGCGCUCCGCCCGUGCAGCCGCCACCACCACCGCCACCGCCGCCGCGUGCUCCUGCUGCCUUCUCGCUUCAGCCGAGCCAGCCAGAGGAACGAGGGGGGGGGUGGGAGAGAGAGAGAGAGAGAGAGAGAGUCGGCGAGGCAAGCGGAGCGGGGACACGGAGCCGUUGCUCCGGAACCGGCGGAAACCUCCUCGGACAGCAGUCGGGCGCCUGCCCCAGCAGCUCGCGUGGUCUCCGGAGACGCCGCGGCAGCCACCGCCGCUCCAACCCGGCCUCUCGCGCCCCUUGCCGCCGGCUCGCCGGGGCGGCCGGGAUGCAGCCGGGGCAUGGCCGCCAGGGCCCCGUCACCUGCCGUGGGGAACGCUGAACCCGUUGAAAAGCUGCCUGUGAGAACCUAGUGCUCUUUUGCGAUCCCACUCUGCGUGGGCACACACACACUCCAUACUGAGGAAGCCUCAUCAGUUCUUCCACGGGCCCCUGGCUACAGCAAAGUAGACGGCACCCCAACAGGUAAGGCCACAAGGCUACCCUGCUCUGCCUUGGCAUCUGAGUUUGUGUCGAGAAUCACUAAUAAGGCCACUUCAGUAGUGGGGCAGUAGCAGGGUGUCCUAUGCCUGUGUUUGCAGUUCAUUGCGUCUUCGUGGCUUCUACAAGUUGGUUAAGUCACAGAGAGUCCCCAGGUCCCCAGGAAAUCAUGGCCAUUGACUUUGUUCUCUGUGUCCUGACACUCA
rnacentral:lncRNA from 1 species